rnacentral:rRNA from 1 species
GACGAACGCUGGCGGCGUGCUUAACACAUGCAAGUCGAACGGAAAGGCCCUGCUUUUGUGGGGUGCUCGAGUGGCGAACGGGUGAGUAACACGUGAGUAACCUGCCCUUGACUUUGGGAUAACUUCAGGAAACUGGGGCUAAUACCGGAUAGGAGCUCCUGCUGCAUGGUGGGGGUUGGAAAGAUUCGGCGGUUGGGGAUGGUCUCGCUGCUUAUCAGCUUGUUGGUGGGGUAGUGGCUUACCAAGGCUUUGACGGGUAGCCGGCCUGAGAGGGUGACCGGCCACAUUGGGACUGAGAUACGGCCCAGACUCCUACGGGAGGCAGCAGUGGGGAAUAUUGCACAAUGGGCGGAAGCCUGAUGCAGCAACGCCGCGUGCGGGAUGCCGGCCUUCGGGUUGUAAACCGCUUUCGCCUGUGACGAAGCGUGAGUGACGGUAAUGGGUAAAGAAGCACCGGCUAACUACGUG